AAAUGGAUUUAUGCUGAACUUUGGAGACCUAGAGAUAGAGUAAAAGAAAGGUGGAAGAGGGAAGCUGAAUUUGGCUCUUGGAAGGAGAAUCAAGGGGUUUGAAGUUAUCAAAUCAAGCCUAGGCCAAGGUUAUUCAGAGCUUGUGGGGUUAUAAAGCUUGACUUGGAGCUAGAAGCAAGGAAGCUAGAGGUUGGACUCUUCAUUCAAGGUAAAGGCAAGGGCAAGCUGGACCAAGCCUGAGGUGGAGAGCUCCGAGGUGAAAUGUACAUAGCCAGCUGUUCGAUCACCAUGAUCGAGGUGUGAGUCAGGACAUGGAUCUACCUAACUGCUCGUUUUGCCUUAGUAUGGCUGGUUAAUGUAUUUGAAUCUUGUAACUUUUGUAAACGGCCUUUAAACUGAUAUUUUUGGGAUCCCGUGUAAAUAAACAGUGUUUCUUUUAAUGAAAAUGUGGCUUUUGAAACCAAAACGCUUUCAGCCCUAGUUCCUUAAUAGUUUCAAUAACACGAUUUUAUUUAAAUGACUUGGUUAGCAAGUCUGGUACUUUAUAAACACACAGUGUAACGGUCUUGGCUAUCCAGGGCGUUACAGGAAUCCUUUAGAAGAAAAACACAAACCGACUAAAGACUUUAUCUCAGCUCACUUUCACAUUCAAGGAAAACAAAGGGAAGGAAAGAAAAACACAGAAACCUAAAGGGGAAACUAGCUGGAAUCUCUUGGAUUUGUAGUGAGGAUUUGAAGGUCUAGCUCAGGGAUUUAUCAAGCACUAAAACAAGGAUUAAGGUAAGCAUCUAACUCUAUUUUCUGUGGUUGAAUUCUGAGUUCUAGCUGGGUUUUAAUUAAGUGUUGAAACAAGUAUGGUUUUGAUGUUCUAAGGCAGAAUUAAGAGGGAAAACUUGGGAGCUUA